rnacentral:rRNA from 1 species
GACGAACGCUGGCGGCAUGCCUAAUACAUGCAAGUCGAGCGAACAGAUGAAGUGCUUGCACUUCUGACGUUAGCGGCGAACGGGUGAGUAACACGUAAGGAAUCUACCUAUAAGCGGGGGAUAACAUUCGGAAACGGGUGCUAAUACCGCAUAGUAUCUUCUUCCGCAUGGAAGAAGAUUGAAAGACGGCUCUGCUGUCACUUAUAGAUGACCUUGCGGUGCAUUAGUUAGUUGGUGGGGUAAUGGCCUACCAAGACAAUGAUGCAUAGCCGAACUGAGAGGGUGAUCGGCCACAUGGGGACUGAGGCACGGCCCAAACUCCUACGGGAGGCAGCAGUAGGGAAUCUUCCGCAAUGGGCGAAAGCCUGACGGAGCAAUGCCGCGUGAGUGAAGAAGGCCUUCGGGUCGUAAAACUCUGUUAUAAGAAAAGAACAAAUUGUAUAGUAACUGCUACAGUCUUGACGGUAUCUUAUCAGAAAGCCACGGCUAACUACGUGCCAGCAGCCGCGGUAA